rnacentral:tRNA from 1 species
GCACCGCUGAUGUAGUCGGAAGCAUACCAGCCUUCCAAGCUGGGCGGGCGAGUUCAAGUCUCGUGCGGUGCUCCA